rnacentral:rRNA from 1 species
UACAGAGGUCUCAAGCGUUGUUCGGAUUCAUUGGGCGUAAAGGGCGCGUAGGCGGCGGGGUAAGUCGGGUGUGAAAUCUCAGAGCUCAACUCUGAAAUGGCACUUGAUACUGCUCUGCUAGAGGACUGGAGAGGAGAUUGGAAUUCACGGUGUAGCAGUGAAAUGCGUAGAUAUCGUGAGGAAGACCGGUGGCGAAGGCGGAUCUCUGGACAGUUCCUGACGCUGAGGCGCGAAGGCCAGGGGGAGCAAAACGGG